CGUUCAAUAAUUAGUGAUAUCGGAUUAAUAGAGAUUAAACUUUAAUCUCAAUUACAAAAAUGAAAUCAAAUCAUGCUCUAACUUGCCUUUUGCUUCCCUUCAAUGAUUUAGUGAUAAAUGAUCGUUUAAAAGGUCUUGAAGAACAGUUUAUCAAAGGCCUUGAGGUUCAAUAGUAGUCAAUUUGUUGGACUGUAUCAAGCCUAGUUAUAAUGAAAAGCUAUCCCAUCGUGUACCAAUCCAUGUGAUUUGCUUGUUUUUUUAUUCUAUUUAUUAAUCAUUGUUGCUCUCGAUCUACCCAAAUAUCUUUAGCACAGCUGAUCAAAAGUAGGCUUGUGACCUCGUCAAGAGUCAUUCCAUCAAAGACACUAUACUCCAUUUCUUUAUCAAACACGUCGUAAUCAUCCUUGUACACAAUGUAUGUCCUCAAGCUUUUUCUCAAGCCUUUCGAUCUUCUUCAUCAAUGUGUAAGUCUCUAGUGUUCAUCAAAUUACUCCACUUUAGAGGUAUUGUCCUAAAUCAAUCUUCAUUGAGAGAAGGCUCACUACCUAUUAACUUCUGACAAUUUCUCGUACUUCCUCCUCAACCUUUGCCUCUUCCUAGAAUAUUUUUGAAGUUCUCUUCCCGAUAACAUUACUUUCUCCAGUUUCUUUGAACUAACCUCAACCCCCAAUCAAGAUAUAAGUAACUAACAUGCAAUCAAUUACCCUUUUUU
rnacentral:lncRNA from 1 species